rnacentral:rRNA from 1 species
UACAGAGGGUGCAAGCAUUAAUCGGAUUUAUUGGGCGUAAAGAGCGCGUAGGCGGGUCUUUAAGUCAGAUGUGAAAUCCCCAGGCUCAACCUGGGAACAGCAUUUGAAACUGAAGAUCUUGGGGGUAGUCGGAGAAAAUGGAAUUCCACGUGUAGCGGUGAAAUGCGUAGAUAUGUGGAAGAACACCGGUGGCGAAGGCGAUUUUCUAGAUUAUACCUGACGCUGAGGCGCGAAAGCAAGGGGAUCAAACAGG